rnacentral:rRNA from 1 species
UACGGAGGGGGCUAGCGUUGUCCGGAAUUACUGGGCGUAAAGCGCGCGUAGGCGGCUUUGUAAGUUAGAGGUGAAAGCCCGAAGCUCAACUUCGGAAUUGCCUUUAAGACUGCAUCGCUAGAAUUGUGGAGAGGUAAGUGGAAUUCCGAGUGUGGAGGUGAAAUUCGUAGAUAUUCGGAAGAACACCAGUGGCGAAGGCGACUUACUGGACAAAUAUUGACGCUGAGGUGCGAAAGCGUGGGGAGCAAACAGG